AGAGUUUGAUCCUGGCUCAGGAUGAACGCUGGCGGCGUGCUUAACACAUGCAAGUCGAACGAACCUUCGGGUUAGUGGCGGACGGGUGAGUAACGCGUGAGAAUCUGCCCUCAGGAGGGGGAUAACGGCUGGAAACGGCCGCUAAUACCCCAUAUGCCGCGAGGUGAAACGAAUUUCGCCUGAGGAUGAGCUCGCGUCUGAUUAGCUAGUUGGUGGGGUAAAGGCCUACCAAGGCUUCGAUCAGUAGCUGGUCUGAGAGGAUGAUCAGCCACACUGGGACUGAGACACGGCCCAGACUCCUACGGGAGGCAGCAGUGGGGAAUUUUCCGCAAUGGGCGAAAGCCUGACGGAGCAACGCCGCGUGAGGGAUGAAGGCCUCUGGGCUGUAAACCUCUUUUAUCAAGGAAGAAGAUCUGACGGUACUUGAUGAAUAAGCCACGGCUAAUUCCGUGCCAGCAGCCGCGGUAAUACGGGAGUGGCAAGCGUUAUCCGGAAUUAUUGGGCGUAAAGCGUCCGCAGGCGGUCUUUUAAGUCUGCUGUUAAAGCGUGGAGCUUAACUCCAUUUCGGCAGUGGAAACUGGAAGACUAGAGUGUGGUAGGGGCAGAGGGAAUUCCCGGUGUAGCGGUGAAAUGCGUAGAUAUCGGGAAGAACACCAGUGGCGAAGGCGCUCUGCUGGGCCAUAACUGACGCUCAUGGACGAAAGCCAGGGGAGCGAAAGGGAUUAGAUACCCCUGUAGUCCUGGCCGUAAACGAUGGAGUCCAGUCGUCGGGGCGCUUGGCGCUUCCCUAACGGAUUAAGCAUUCCGCCUGGGGAGUACGUACGCACGCAAAGUGUGAAAACUCAAAAGGAAUUGACGGGGGCCCGCACAAGCGGUGGAGUAUGUGGUUUAAUUCGAUGCAACGCGAAGAACCUUACCAGGGUUUGACUCCUGCGAAUCCCUUGGAAACGAGGGAGUGCCUUCGGGAACGCAGUGACAGGUGGUGCAUGGCUGUCGUCAGCUCGUGUCGUGAGAUGUUGGGUUAAGUCCCGCAACGAGCGCAACCCACGUCGUUAGUUGCCAGCAUUCAGUUGGGCACUCUAGCGAGACCGCCGGUGAUAAACCGGAGGAAGGUGUGGAUGACGUCAAGUCAUCAUGCCCCUUACAUCCUGGGCUACACACGUACUACAAUGCUACGGACAAAGGGCAGCAAACUCGCGAGAGCUAGCAAAUCCCAUAAACCGUGGCUCAGUUCAGAUCGUAGGCUGCAACUCACCUACGUGAAGGAGGAAUCGCUAGUAAUCGCAGGUCAGCAUACUGCGGUGAAUACGUUCCCGGGCCUUGUACACACCGCCCGUCACACCAUGGAAGUUGGCCACGCCCGAAGCCGUUACUCCAACCCUUGUGGAGGAGGAUGUCGAAGGUGGGGCUGAUGACUGGGGUGAAGUCGUAACAAGGUAGCCGUA
rnacentral:rRNA from 1 species